GAUGAAGAACGCAGCGAAAUGCGAUAAGUAAUGUGAAUUGCAGAAUUCAGUGAAUCAUCGAAUCUUUGAACGCACCUUGCGCUCCUCGGUAUUCCGAGGAGCAUGCCUGUUUGAGUGUCAUUAAUAUAUCAACCUUCUCUUUUUUGAGUUGUUUGGAUGUGGGGGUUUGCUGGCCUCUUAAAUGAUUCAGCUCCCCUGAAAUGCAUUAGCAGAACAACCUGUUCAUUAGCGUGAUAAUUAUCUAUGCUAUUGAAUGUGAGGGCAGUUCAGCUUUCUAACCGUCCUUGGACAAUUCAUCAUUAAUGUGACCUCAAAUCAGGUAGGACUACCCGCUGAACUUAAGCAUAUCAAUAAGCGGAGGA
rnacentral:misc_RNA from 1 species